CUGUGUGCUUUGAGGAGGUGGCUGUGUACUUCAUGGAGGAGGAGUGGGCCCUGCUGGAUUCUAGCCAAGAAUCUUUGUACAAGGAGGUCAUGCAGGAGAUUUCUAGGAAUGUGGUUGUGAACAAGGGAAUGAGCAUGACAAGGAGUCAUGGGAAGUGCCAUUGCAAAUAAUCAAGCAGGAGGUGGAAGAACUGAUGAUUGAAAAGCAAGGGAAACAAAGAGGCCACGACAGAACCUACUCAAAGAAUGGGGAGAAGAAAUUUCCUCCUCUAUGUGUUGAACUCCAUGAUUUCCCAAUCCAGGCAGAUCCGAAAAGAAAGGGACAAUACCCAGAAUGUGACAAAAGAGUUCAACAUAAAUUUGAUUCAAAUGCCUCUUGCAAAACCCAGACUAAAUGGAAACAAUAUAAAUAUAGACAGCACAAAAACAUAUUUCCUUCCCUCUUAAUGGACCUGAAAAAUUCUGUAUGAAAAAUAAGUCACAUACAUUUUUAAGAUCUGGAAAGAAUAUUAGCCUGAACCUCAGUCGUCAAAGUUCCUCUGAAGGAUUUCACCCAACACAGAAAUCGCAUAAAUGCUCUGAGUGUGGGAAGAGCUUUAGUAACAGCAGUGCCCUUACUUUCCAUCAAAGGACCCACACGGAUGAAAAACCAUAUAAAUGUGUGAAGCGUAAUAAGACCACCUAUAGAAACAGUAUUCUUAUUUGUCAUCUUGAUGCGAAACCAUAUGAAUGCAUGGAGUGUGGAAGGAGUUUCAGUAGCAGCAAUGCCCUUACUAACCAUUGAAGGAUUCACACAAGGGAGAAGCUGUACAAGUGCACAGAAUGUGGGAAAUGUUUCAGUAGCAACAGUGCCCUUACUAACCAUCUAAGAAUCCACACAGGGAAGAAACCAUAUAAAUGCAAGGUGUGUGGAGAAAGCUUUAGAUGGAGCAGUGAUCUUACUUCCCAUUGGAGGGUUCACACAGAGGUGAAACUAUAUUGCCAAGAUGCCAGCAGUCCAAUUCAACAAGAA